rnacentral:rRNA from 1 species
UGCCUAGUACAUGCAGGUCGAACGGAAAGGCCCAGCUUGCUGGGUACUCGAGUGGCGAACGGGUGAGUAACACGUGGGUGAUCUGCCCCUGACUUUGGGAUAAGCCUGGGAAACUGGGUCUAAUACCGGAUAUUCAUUUUUCCUCGCAUGGGGAUUUGUGGAAAGCUUUUGCGGUUGGGGAUGGGCCCGCGGCCUAUCAGCUUGUUGGUGGGGUAAUGGCCUACCAAGGCGACGACGGGUAGCCGACCUGAGAGGGUGAUCGGCCACACUGGGACUGAGACACGGCCCAGACUCCUACGGGAGGCAGCAGUGGGGAAUAUUGCACAAUGGGCGCAAGCCUGAUGCAGCGACGCCGCGUGAGGGAUGACGGCCUUCGGGUUGUAAACCUCUUUCAGCUCCGACGAAGCGCAAGUGACGGUAGGAGCAGAAGAAGCACCGGCCAACUACGUGCCAGCAGCCGCGGUAAUACGUAGGGUGCAAGCGUUGUCCGGAAUUACUGGGCGUAAAGAGCUCGUAGGCGGUUUGUCGCGUCGUCUGUGAAAUUCUGCAGCUUAACUGCAGGCGUGCAGGCGAUACGGGCA